GCUCGAAGUCACGGACCGCGAGAUCGUGACCUGAGCCGAAGUCGGACGCUCAACCGACUGAGCCACCCAGGCGCCCCUGGAUUGUCCUCUUUUAAACCUUACUACAACCCUAUGAGGAAGUCCCGGAGCAUUCCUGGCCUCAGGAUGGAUUGAUUCAGUGGUUCGACGGUGGCCUAAGGACCCAGGAGAUUUCUGUCUCUGACUCUACACGUUGGAUCCGGUCCAAGGGCUCCUCCGACGAGCACGAGCACGGCUCAGCACUGGGGAAGCGUGAAGGACACGUCUCAGCUUUGAAAAAAAUACAGCUGACUGCUUGA